AGGCUGAAGGUGGAGGAGGGCGUGGACGGGAUUUGGUCCCGGCAUUGCACUCGGAGAUGCUCUAAUAUUUAAGGAGUCCUUGUUUCUUAUAUUAUUAUUUUAUCACAUUGCCAUCAAAUUAAAAUGCUUGUUUGAGUAAAUAGCACAUAAUGUACUAGUAACUCUUUGCUACUACCAUUAUUGGCAAGUUUUUGUAAGUAAUCUUUCUAGUCAAGCACUUGUUUAUCAUCUAUAGUAAUCUUAAGUUUUGCCAUUUUUCUCUUCUGGAUUUUCUCAUCUUGUUUUCAUAGGCUUGCUGGCUGCGUCUUCUAUUUUACUUGGUACACUUGUUAGACCCCAAAGCGUUGAAAUCUUCAUUUUUUGUUAAUACAAUAUUUAAUGAGUACUACGUUACAGAAUCUAUUUUGUUAAUUUUUACCAUCAAUGCAAAGACAAACAUGUAUUUGCAUGCUAAUUUUGCUACUUUAUUAAAUUCAUGUCUGUUUUAGAAAGUACAGAUGCGCAUGAAAAAUUGUUGCAUUGUCUAAGGUCCAAUUCCAAACGAGUUGAAGCAGAAUUCAUUUUGUUAGUUUUAUGACACAGGCUAGUAAGUAUUUUGCAAUUCAUUUAGUUCCACUCUUUUUCAUCUUGUAGGUUUAGGUACUACAAGCAUGCCACUAGCUCGGGAGAGUGAGAGGGAAAGGAGGGCAUUCCUCGCGGAACAUAAAUGCAUAGGUUGUGUGUAUGCUAAGCUAAGGGGGGCAUUGAUUACAUGUACUUUAACCAUUAUACCUCUAGCUCUAGGUUAUGCAUGUUAUCUUGUCAGUUUUCAUCUCAUUAUGAUGCAACGUUGUUGUGUUUGUCAUUUAUAGGCAUCGGGAGGAGUUAGCCGCAAGACCUGAAGCACAAGAGAGAGCAUUUGAAGCGAUACAAAAGAAGCAUCAAGAAGAAUUGGAAGCUCUAAAGAAGAUCCAACAAGAGAAGAAUGAAGCCUGGCAAAGAAGCAAAAGGAGACGUAUAAUCUGCUUGAUUUUCUCUUGAGGGAUCAAGCAACUCUGUAGUCCCAAUCCAAACUAGAUGGUUCAUGAAAGCCAUCCUUACAUUGCAAUUGUCAGGACAACAUCUGUGGUCUUUACAACUAUUUUCAUCUUGUCUAUUGUCUGUCAAACUUGAGUCAGUUUUUUACCCUCAUUUUUGUUUACAGAAUGAUUUGGCUGAGACGAUUUCAUAUAUAAUACGAUUUGUCUUUCAUAUCAAUUUAUGAUGUGAUUUUUCUCUACAACUAUUUUAUAUAAUCUGAUGUGAU
rnacentral:lncRNA from 1 species